rfam:Pseudomonas syringae pv. tomato str. DC3000, complete genome.
GUGGACGCUUGCCAUACGCCCUGACCCGGCAGGUAUGGAACACCGCGUGGCGACCGGCAUGGACAACGGCGUCCUCCGGAUC